CUGUCACUUGUCACCUGGGAGAAGAGACUGACCCCCACCUGGCUAUGACCUCCUUUCCAAUAGGAAUGACCUCUUGUAAGUGAUCCUACUUUGAGAAGUGGGGCUGGACCACACCACUCCCAGAGACGCCCUGGAGCCUCAACCAUUCUAAUUCAGAUCUGUGGCAAGUGAAAGAGGAAAAUUCUGGACUACUCAGUAGCUAGGCAAGAGUAGGUAAUGGGCUGCAUGGAAGAUGACUCAAUGAAACAUCCCAGCAUGAGUCAUUAUAGCCUAAGAAAGAAAACACAUGAAGUGGCAAAUCAGAUGGUUUGAUGGACUGUGUUGCUGCUCCAUGUAACUUUGUGUAUGUAGGAUCUCUGGCGAUUUUCCUGGGUGCUCUUCCAGCUGCUUCCUGCUAAGUGCCUUCAAGAUGACAGAACCACCCUGAACUGAGUAUCCAGAAGGAUCCAUCCCUUGGUCCUUGUGUAGCUGCCCCUGCAGGGGAAUCAACACAAGAGGAAAUGCAGAUGCAUGGUGACACUAUCCUUUUGCUUCCUGAGGUUUCCAAGGCACUGGUUUGGGACUGGCAGACACAGGACAGGACUUACAGAGAUCUCUCCUCUUGGGGAAUGAAUAAAAGAUAGUUGAUCACCAGAAGUCUUCUUGCCUUCUAAGAUGGUCAUUCCCAGCUGGUACAAGUUUGGUACAAGAACUAACUGGAUAUUGCAUUCAUGCCUAACGUCUAGCUCAAGAAAAGUGCUGAAUAAUCUGUAUAUUUGAAGAAAAUACCACAAGAAGUAAGUGAUCACAUCAAAAAAAACCUAAACAGUUAUUGCCCAAGGCUCUGUUAGAUAGGUUAGAUAAAAAACAAAAGAAGAUGGUCUGACAUCCAAACAGGUAUUUAAAUUCUGUCCAGUGAAUUAUACCCCAGAGUGCCUCUUUCUUGCCUUUAGUUAUAAAGGUGUCAGACAAGUCCCUCAGAAACAGAUGCCAUAUUGCACUCCCCUAAAUUCAAUUGAGAUGUCUGACCACUGAUGUGAAGACUGUCACUCAAAGGGGUCCAGGGAGGUUAUUAGCCUCUGGAAGACUUUCUUCUUAACCUAUAUUCACCCUAUGUUUGCUCAAGUUUUCUAAGCAGCUAGGUGUUCUCCUGAGCCCAGUUGGAAGCCCAUUCUGGAAGAGAAUGAGUUGUUCUGGUCAUUUUAACAUAUUCAAUUGCUUCUGAACUUUGCUGUCAGAGGAAACAUGGAAACUUAGAAGGCUGCAGAAGAAAAAGAACUCAUCUGAAAUUACAGAAAAGAGGCAAUUUAAAGUGGAAGCCAAAGGGGAA